CCUACGGGAUGCAGCAGUGAGGAAUAUUGGUCAAUGGCCGUAAGGCUGAACCAGCCAAGUAGCGUGAGGGAAGACUGCCCUAUGGGUUGUAAACCUCUUUUAUGCGGAGAUAAAUGUCUCCACGUGUGGAAGUUUGCACGUACCGCUUGGAUAAGGACCGGCUAGUUCCGUGCCAGCGGCCGCGGUAAUACGGAAGGUCCGGGCGUUAUCCGGAUUUAGUGGGUGUAAGGGGCGCGUAGGCCGGUCUUUAAGCGUGCCGUGAAAUUUUGUGGCUCAACCAUGAGAGUGCGGCGCGAACUGGAGACCUGGAGUGCGCGGAAGGCAGGCGGAAUUCGUGGUGUAGCGGUGAAAUGCGUAGAUAUCACGAAGAACCCCGAUUGCGAAGGCAGCCUGCCGCAGAGUGACUGACGUUGAAGCUCGAAAGCGCGGGUAUCGAACAGGAUUAGAUACCCCGGUAGUC
rnacentral:rRNA from 1 species